rnacentral:lncRNA from 1 species
GAGAGGAAAGAGAGAGAGAGUUGAGAGCUUGUUCUGUAAGAACUUUUGAGUGUUAGAGUGAGAGACAGAAGCUAGAGAGAGAGAGGGCAGAAAAACAGAGAGUGUUGAACCAUAGGUGCGUCGAAGGGAAAUGUGGCUUCUUCCCAGCUGAGGUAAGCCGAUUUCUUCUUCCUAUGAGUUAUUCUUUUAAUCCUUUACGUUUCCUAACCCUUCUUGCACACAUCCCGGCUUCCAAUUUACUGUAGUAAGCCUCAAAACCCAGAAAUCUUUACUGUUUCACCUGAGCAAUGUCUCCAUUUGGUUACUAAGUUGCUAAUUUUCCUCCAAUCUUGUUGUUGUGUUCAAUUCUUUUCCAAAUCUAGGUUGUAGAUUAGUUGAUUUACAUAUUGGGACUCUUGGGGAACGAAUCUUUGCGGUGAAAUUCGCCCACAAUCCGCAGAUUCUUUCUGAGACUCAUUCUGACCCUGCCUUCAAUGUUCAGGCUAGUCCUCGCUGUUCAUCCAUUAUUUGAGAACCAUUUCCUCGUACGUUUUGAAUUCUAUUCUGUGCGUCAGUCGGGUAAGAGGGAUAAUAAUUUAAUUUACACAAGUAAUGCUCUUUCUACAUGCAUUUAGAAGGCAAAAUUUGAAGAAAACCAGAAAACAUGGGAUUUUAAUGAAAACAGAACUGUAAGCGUCUGCAUGCAUGUUUUCGCUGAUUAAAUUGAUGUUUUUGUGAUUGAUUUUGAAUGUUUACAGAGGAUGUAUGAUGCGUUUGUGUGAAUUUUAUUCGAUUACAGAAGCAAAAAAGACAGAAAAACGUGAAAAACCGUCAGUGGGAAGCCAGAU